AUGUAAAAUUUGAGCAUAUCAAAUUUUGACGUCGUUGCCUAAAAAAUUUCGAUGUUAAAAGUGUAUUUUAUGUGUUUUCGCUAACUUCUUUUACCUUGUUAGUUCAUUAACACUUUGAUUCGUGGUGACCUUACAAGUAGUCAGGCUAGGUUUUCUUGAAGAGGAUCUUACACAAGAGGACCCUCCUCAGGGAGUUCAAAAUCAAGGAGAUCCACUAGCAGCCGAUCGAUGCUCCUUCACAAGUGGGUGCUUGUGGAAGUCGUGGUCAGAGAGCAUAAUCCAAUUCCCAAGCUCAACACAAUGCGAGAUAUGCAAGUGUCAUAGCUCCUCCUCACAUCAGGGUGGUAAAUUUCACUACAAGAAAUGUCAUGCUCAACCAAAGAGGAAUAUUUUGUGGAACGGCUCGUGAAAAGGCAGACAAGCAUCUAAAGUUCUUUUUGGAUGUUUGCUCUACGAGCAAGAAAUUAUUGGUCUUGGAUGAUGCACGUAGUUUGAGGCUCUUUCCAUUCUCUGAGAAUCACUUUCCAAUCAUUUUGUUUGCACUUGGGAUGAGUUCUAUGCAAAGUUCUCGAAUAAGUAUUUCUCUCUAGGCGAUAUGACCUUUUGUGUGAUGA